AAUGAACGCUGGCGGCGCGCCUAAUACAUGCAAGUCGAGCGAGAAGACGUAGCAAUACGUUUGUAAAGCGGCGAACGGGUGAGGAAUACAUGGGUAACCUACCCUCGAGUGGGGAAUAACUAGCCGAAAGGUUAGCUAAUACCGCGUACGCUCCUUGGACUUCGGUUCAGGGAGGAAAGCGAUACCGUGGGUAUCGCGCUCUUGGUUGGGCUCAUGUCCUAUCAGCUUGUUGGUGAGGAACGGCUCACCAAGGCUUCGACGGGUAGCUGGUCUGAGAGGACGAUCAGCCACACUGGCACUGCGACACGGGCCAGACUCCUACGGGAGGCAGCAGUAAGGAAUAUUGCGCAAUGGGCGAAAGCCUGACGCAGCGACGCCGCGUGGGGGAGUGAAGGUCGUUCGG
rnacentral:rRNA from 1 species